rnacentral:tRNA from 1 species
GUAAAGUCAGCUAAAAAGCUCUCGGGCCCAUACCCCGAACAUGUUGGUUAAACCCCCUCCUUUACUA